UUGGAGGGCAAGUCUGGUGUAGCAGCCGCGGUAAUUCCAGCUCCAAUAGCGUAUAUUAAAGUUGUUGCAGUUAAAAAGCUCGUAGUUGAACCUCGGGGUCUACCCAUUGGUCAGGCUUAAUUGUCUGUACUGGUGAGAUGGAUCUCUACCUUCUGAGGAACUUUCAUGCCAUUUAUUUGGUGUGAUGGGAAAUCAGGACUGUUACUUUGAAAAAAUUAGAGUGUUUAAAGCAGACUAUCGUCUGAAUACAUUAGCAUGGAAUAAUGAAAUAGGACGGACUGAUUCUAUUUCGUUGGUUUCUAGGAUCACCGUAAUGAUUAAUAGGGAUAGUUGGGGGCAUUAGUAUUCAAUUGUCAGAGGUGAAAUUCUUGGAUUUAUUGAAGACUAACUACUGCGAAAGCAUUUGCCAAGGAUGUUUUCAUUAAUCAAGAACGAAAGUUAGGGGAUCGAAGACGAUCAGAUACCGUCGUAGUCUUAACCAUAAACUAUGCCGACUAGGGAUCGGAUGAUGUUAAUUUUUUAAUGACUCAUUCGGCGCCUUACGGGAAAC
rnacentral:rRNA from 1 species